rnacentral:lncRNA from 1 species
AUGAGGGGCGUUAGCUUUGAGACCUCCCGGGAUGGAGGCAGCCGAGGAACGCGAAGGCUGCAGGCCCAUGAGGCCACGCAGGCUGGGGAGUCUCUGGGGUCGGGCCCUCGCUCUUGCACUCACGUUCUAGCUCACGCCGCAGCUGCUCCAGCCCCACCUGCAGCCUCUCCAGGUAGAGCGGCAAGUGGUGGGCCAGCACCUGCCUGGCCCGGCUCUGGCCCCACAGCGCGGCCACUGUCUGGCUGCUCUCUGCCACGGCCCCCAGUCCCGCAUGGGACAACUUCAGGAGGGGGCCCACCACGCUGUCCAGGGUGCCCGCCGGCCACACCUGGGCAGGGAAAUCGAGGCAGAAUCAGUGUGAGGGUCUGGGGCACCCAGCAUUCCAGAAGAUCCUCACGCCUGGUGAGUAGAGGGCACGGGAUAGGCCGGGACGGGGGUGGGGGGGCACAUCUCCACACAGCCCUCCCCUUCUCCAAGUGUGUCCCCGACCCCCGACUGAAGUCUACCCACCAGGCGCCGGAACCUUUCCACGUAGGCAUCCAAGCCUCGGACCUUCUUCUCCAGCCGGGCUCUCACCUGGGCCCCAAUGGCCACGAUCCUGGACUGUGGGCACAGACAGGCUGGGGGCUCCGGGGGGGGAGGCGUCAUGGGACUGGGGUGGACAGGAGCUUCUCGGUGCCGGCCAUAGAGCCGCGGGAUGUGUUUGCAUGCGACAGGGCUGCCUCUGGUUUGCUGGGCUCUCUUGGACCCAAAGGGCUCGCAGCCCCUGGCACUGUGGCCUCUGCCCCAGGGAAAAUAGUGUCCCCCACCCCCGGGGCCAGCUCACCUCCACAUGGCCCAGCAGGGUUCCUGGGCAGCCAUGCGCCGCCAGGCGGAGACUCUGGUUGGCAGCCUGCAGGGUCAGGCGUCCCAGGGGCUGCACGGACUGCCCGGUGUCCUGGAGCAGGGCCUCCGCCUCGGCCGUCUGCCCCUGGGCACAUGCCCGCAGCUCCACGCUCUCCUCUCUGCUCCCUGGGGUCAGGAAGGGUCCUGCUGUUGCCCCCGGGACUCUCCUGGCUGCCACCUGGCUGCUCACGCCACCUCCUUUCCACGAAGAGCUUCCCAUCACCCCCAGGCCCUAGCGUUCGCAGGCCUAGAAGUGCACUGCCCAAAUCAGCUUCCCGGCCCCCUAAGGCUUGGGCUCCUUCUCGUCCCCCAGCCCCUACCCACCUCUGGUCUGCCUGUCUGGACCUUCUCCCAGCCUCUCCUGACAUCACAGUCCCUCCAGGUGGCCGCAGGGGGCUCACUGUUGCCUCCGAGCUGGGGGCACCACAAAGUCCUAAUGGGGUUCCUUGA